rnacentral:rRNA from 1 species
AUGGAGUUCGCCACGGGGGCGAUGAGCUCUCUCCUCCCCAAGCUGGGGGAGCUGCUCAUUGAGGAGUACAACCUGCAGAAGAGUGUGAAGCGGGGGGUCAAGGACCUCAGGGAGGAGCUCUUGAUGAUACAAGCAGCACUUGUGAAGGUGUCCAAUGUGCCACUGGAAGAUCUUGAUCCCGUGGUCAAGAUUUGGGCCAACGACGUCAGGGAGCUAUCGUUUGCCAUCGAGGACAGCCUCGACUCCUUCAUGGUGCGUGUGGUGGGUCUUGAUCCAACCAGGCCAAACACCUUCUUGGGGUUCAUCAAGGAGACUAAGAGCAAGGUCACCAAUCUCAAACUUCGUCGGGACAUAGCCAACAACAUCAAAGACGUCAAGAUCCAAGUUAAAGAGGUGAAGGAGAGGUACGGCAGAUACAAAGAUGUUAUCAGUGAUGUAAGUGUUGCAACAAAGGUUGAUCCCCGCCUCUUAACUCUGUACAACAAAGUAUCUAACCUUGUCGGCAUCGACGAGGCUAUCGACGAGCUAACAAAGAGGUUGUCCAAGAGCGAUGAUGUGGCCCAGCAACAGCUCAAGACUAUUUCUGUCGUUGGAUUUGGAGGACUGGGCAAGACAACUCUUGUUAAGGCAAUAUAUGACAAUCUUAAGAAGGAAUUUGAUUGUGGAAGUUUUGUUAUUGUCGGUCGGAAUCCCGACAACAAGAAAGUCUUCAGGGACAUCCUCCAUGAACUUGACAAGCAAAAGUAUAAGUAUAUCACUGAAUCAAAAAUGGAUGAAAGACAACUCAUCGACCAAUUGCAAGAAUUCCUCAUGGACAAGAGGUACCUAAUUGUGGUUGAUGACAUUUGGGAUGUAUCAACAUGGGAAAUUAUUAAAUGUGCAUUGGUGGAUAGUAAUUCUGGAAGUAGAAUAAUCACAACUACUCGUAUUCAUGAAGUUGCCAAAAAAGUUGGUGGUGUUUACAAUAUAAAACCACUUUCUGAUGAUAACUCCAAAAAACUGUUCCAUAGCAGAAUAUUUGGUGGUGAAGGCAUAAGUCAUGAUGAUCACUUGGUCGAACUGUCAGAUAUUUUUUUUAGAAAAUGCGGUGGUGUGCCAUUGUCCAUCAUUACGUUAGCUAGCUUGCUUGUUAAUAAACGUAAAGAUGAAUGGUAUAAGGUGUUUGACUCUAUUGGUUUUGGUCAUGAAGAUAAUGAAGCUAUUCAGAACACAAGAAAAAUAGUGUCAUUUAGCUAUUAUGACCUACCUUUCCAUUUAAAGACUUGUUUGUUGCAUCUAAGCAUGUAUCCAGAAGACUAUUGGAUUGGAAAGAACUCAGUGAUAUGGAAAUGGGUGGCAGAAGGUUUUAUACCUAUUAAACAAGGGAUUGGUGCAUUUGAGCUGGGACAAAGCUACUAUAAUGAUCUUAUAAAUAGAAGUAUGAUCCAGUCCAUAAAGCCAGACAACAUACACAUGCUUGAUUGUUGUCGUGUUCAUGAAAUUGUGCUCGAUCUCAUCCGCACCCUAUCAGGCGAAGUAAACUUUGUUACAACAAUAGAUAAGAUGCAACAGAACACAUGUUCACUCAACGCAAGAAGCAUUGCUCGCAGAUUAGCCAUCCAUGAUGGAACUGCCAAUCAUAGCAAUAUGGGACAUGUUAGGUCAUUUAAUGCUAUCUAUUUUUCUGAUGGUGUUCUCCCCCCUCUUUUGAGUUUUAAAGUAUUACGAGUACUAGUCCUCGAGAAUUGUGAUUUUCCCAUAGGAAGUUAUCAUUUGGAGCAUCUUGCGAAGUUGGUUCAGUUGAGGUACGUAGGACUGGCAGGCACACAUGUUACCGAGCUCCCAUGUGACUUAGGGCAUCAUCUCAAGUUAUUGCAGACACUAAAUACAGAGUGGACAGGCAUAAAAGAAUUACCUUCGUCUAUCGGUGAGCUAACCAAGCUGAUGUGUCUGCGUGCUUCUAAGGGCACAAGGAUGAUGGGAAGGAUAGGGAAGCUGAAAUCCCUAGAAGAGUUGGUGCUACACCAUGUGGACAAGUCCCCGGGCUUCACCAUGGAGUUGGGAAAGCUGGCACAACUGAGACUGCUUGAAAUCCAUGUUGAUGAAAUGGACAAGUGUAUGCUUAGGGACCUCAUCAAGUCUGUGUGCAACCUGUGUAGAAUCCAGACUCUCAAGAUCAAGUCUAAAUUGUUUGAGACAGUUGCAGCUGAUGGCUGGGAAGAGUGGGCUCCCCCUUUAGAGCUCCGUCAGUUGGCACUGCCUUGCAUGACUUUACCCAGGCGUCCAUCGUGGAUGAAUUCAACUUGUGUUCCGCACAUUUCCUACCUAUGCUUCAAAGUGAAAAUGUUGGAAGCACGGGAUCUGCCGAUCCUCGGGACGAUGUCUUCACUCCAUUUCCUCCACUUAUCACAUCAAAUCAAUGACACCCUAUCAUAUACUGUUGGUUGCCAUGAGUUCCUGAGCCUGACAUAUCUCAUGGUAGACAUAGAGAUCGUUUGUGGAGAGGGAUCAUUGCCGAUGCUUGAAGAAUUGAGAUGCUAUGCUAGCGUGGGAAAUGACGUAGGCUUGGCAGGAAAUAUGCAGUUUCUCAAGGAAGUUACCUACACACUCCACUACGAGAACAUCUGUAGUAUUGAGGAGCUAGAAGCAGCGGAGGCAGCCAUAAGGCACGCCGCAGAGAGCCACCCCAACCGUCCCAAGCUCAAAAUAACAUCGUACCUCAAGGUACCUACGUUUCUAUUUAUAUUUCCUUUUUGUUUCAUUCCCAUUAAUUCCAAAGAAGUGUCCUCUACAGAUGAGGAAGAAGAGGUAUGUGUAUGCGCACUAGCUGUUGCACAUACUGUUAUCCCGAUCUGUAAUUCCCAAAUAAAUUAUCAUUCCGUCUCAAGUAUUCCUGUAAUAAACAAAUAA